UUGGANUGGGGGAACCCUGACGCAGCAACGCCGCGUGGAGGAUGAAGUCCUUCGGGACGUAAACUCCUUUCGAUCGGGACGAUUAUGACGGUACCGGAAGAAGAAGCCCCGGCUAACUUCGUGCCAGCAGCCGCGGUAAUACGAGGGGGGCGAGCGUUGUUCGGAAUUAUUGGGCGUAAAGGGUGCGUAGGCGGUUUGGUAAGUCUGAUGUGAAAUCUAUGGGCUCAACUCAUAGUCUGCAUCGGAAACUGCCGGGCUUGAGUGUGGGAGAGGUGAGUGGAAUUUCCGGUGUAGCGGUGAAAUGCGUAGAUAUCGGAAGGAACACCUGUGGCGAAAGCGGCGCACUGGACCACUACUGACGCUGAGGCGCGAAAGCCGGGGGAGCAAACAGGAUUAGAUACCCUGGUAGUCCCGGCCCUAAACGAUGAUUGCUUGGUGUGAUCGGUACCCAAUCCGAUUGUGCCGCAGCUAACGCGAUAAGCAAUCCGCCUGGGGAGUACGGUCGCAAGGCUGAAACUCAAAAAAAUUGACGGA
rnacentral:rRNA from 1 species